AGCAAUGGACAGUUUUGUUCAACAAACUCAUCAACUGGAAUCUUGAGUGCCUCAUUGAAAAAUUUGCUGAUUCGAAAGGCAUACUAGCACUUAAAACCUUGCCUGUCAUUCUUCCCCCGCCUGUGUACAAGAUUGGCCACAAAACCUUUCGGCCAACUAUUCAAGAGGCAAGAACCUCAUUCAUUGAUGUACAACCUUCUGGAACCAACAUGGUGCUUUAC